rnacentral:rRNA from 1 species
CCUACGGGUGGCAGCAGUGAGGAAUAUUGGUCAAUGGACGAGAGUCUGAACCAGCCAAGUCGCGUGAGGGAUGACUGCCCUAUGGGUUGUAAACUUCUUUUAUAUGGGAAUAAAGUGUUCCACGUGUGGGGUUUUGUGUGUACCAUAUGAAUAAGGAUCGGCUAACUCCGUGCCCGCAGCCGCGGUAAUACGGAGGAUCCGAGCGUUAUCCGGAUUUAUUGGGUUUAAAGGGAGCGUAGGUGGAUUGUUAAGUCAGUUGUGAAAGUUUGCGGCUCAACCGUAAAAUUGCAGUUGAAACUGGCAGUCUUGAGUACAGUAGAGGUGGGCGGAAUGCGUGGUGUAGCGGUGAAAUGCUUAGAUAUCACGAAGAACUCCGAUUGCGAAGGCAGUUCACUGGACUGCAACUGACACUGAGGCUCGAAAGUGUGGGUAUCAAACAGGAUUAGAUACCCUGGUAGUC